rnacentral:tRNA from 1 species
GCCGAAGUGGUGGAAUUGGCAGACACGCUAGGUUCAGGGUCUAGUGGGCAUUGCGCCCGUGGGGGUUCGACUCCCCCCUUCGGCACCA